GCGCGAGUGGCGGAAUUGGCAGACGCGCUGGAUUUAGGUUCCAGUGUCUUCGGACGUAGGGGUUCAAGUCCCCUCUCGCGCA
rnacentral:tRNA from 7 species